AAGUCUCCAUGCAAAUGAGGCUAUAAAUAGACAUUACCAAUCACUCCUUUCUCGUCAAUUAUCAUUAGCAAGAUAAAGAAAUUCUUCUACUACUUUCCUUCUAAUUUUUGUCUUCAUAAGCUUUCCUUUGUUGUUUUUCUUUCUUAAAGUUUAGUAGUCAAAUUUCUUUUGUUCCCCCUUUUAAAUAGUUGUGCCGUAAUAUUUAAUUUUGACGAUUCAUGUAUUCUCUAUCUAAUUAGAGAUAUGCUUGUUUAAUCCUGGAAAAACAUUUUACAUUGCUGAAAUAGUUUCUUUGGACAGUGCCCAGCACGACUCAAGCUAGUUGGUGUAUUUUCACUCACUAAUAAUAUUAUUGCAGUAUUAUUAUUAUCACAUUGUUGAAAUAGUUUCUUAGGACAGUGCCCAGCACGACUCAAGCUAGUUGGUGUAUUUUCACUCACUAAUAAUAUUAUUGCAGUAUUAUUAUUAUCAUUACUUUUCAGUGUCAUUUUCCUACAAUCUAAGAAAUUAUGGCAAGUAAUACUACUACGGAAAUUUUUAUGGUGCUAACAAAUUUGGGGUUGUCUCUAUGGCUACUGUUCCAGCUGUUCUGCCAAAUAUUCAUGGGAUUGCAAAUACGUUAUUGCAUCCACAACCUCGGCAGACACUAAUAUCAAAACACAGGUAUGUAAAUAAACAUGGUUACGUAUUCAAUGCUAAUAUUAAAACCUUCAAGAAAAAAUGCACCUCAAUGCAGUAGUAGAGUUAGGAUAAAUGACAAUCUCAUUAAGUCAAAAUUAAAUUUGACACAAGCGGAUAAUAUAAUUAUUGCGGUUAUUUUCCAAAUAAAUAAUGUGGCCAGUGUGAGAGAUUACAUGAUAGACUCUAGUGCUACUAGACACAUUUGUGCAAACAAAUAUGAAUUUUUGUCUUACAACCAAAUUGAGGAAGGAGAAAAAAGUAUUUAUCUUGGUGACUCAAGAACAACCCGUGUUCUUAGUAAAGAAAAAACUCUUCUCAAACUCACAUCUGGUAAAACUCUAGCAUUGAGUGAUGUAUUGCAUAUUCCUCAACUUAUUAGUAUUUAUUCUUUUCAUUUUUAAAGGAUGCGUUUUUGCUAAUAUAGUGAUAAAAUUAUGAAGACCGUUAAUUAGGAGCUUGGAUGUUUACAUAUUUUUCUUUAAUUUGUAAAGGUAAAAGGUACAUAAAGUUAUAGUACUUCAACAAUUUGAAUUAUGGAACCAAACAUUUUAGUUAAUGCAAUCAUGACUCCAUUUGAAGAUUAGUGUAGGGUGAGAAGUGAUUGUAGAAAAAUACUAUGUACUAUCUCCUACAGAAACCAUAGAAUUACAAAAUAGACUUAAAAGUUGUAUUGUUAACUCAACAUUCACAAAACUGAUAGAGUAAAAAAUAGCAACUUUAAGCGCAAUGGUUUUGAAAACGUGAAUAUGAGGACGAAAAAAAAAUUCAAUUGCCCCUUAUUUUAAAUAGAAUAUUAAGCCAAAAAUAUUUAAUUGCUUUUAAACAUUAUUAAAUCAAGAGAAAAGAAUAUGUAACACACUUAAAAAUUACAUAAUUAGUGUAAUGUUUAAUAAGAGUAGCUAUUUAAGGUAGAGUUGGAUGUUAGAUGAUAAUAAUCAUUAAUAGAAGUUAUUUAAGUGGGGCUCACAUAAUCAUUCUAAUAGAAAUAUGAGAAUGACAAAUUUACGUGGGAUCCAUUCAUCAUAAUAGCCUUUAACAUUGGUUAACGUGUAAAUUUACAAAUUUAAUAGGGUCUACUAUUACAGUAAACUCGCACGUGUUACUGAGACAUUAAAUUAUAUGGCAAGCUAUAAACCAUAAAAUAAAAAGUAAAUUUAAGGAGGGAUAAAAUGAGGGUUUUAAGGCAUCGGAACAUAGAAUUUUAUUUUAAUUCAUAAGAUGACCUAUCAGAUCAUCACAAUUUGAAAUUUAUGUUUUGAAUUCCUCUUGAUGAUUCCAAUCAAUUGGGAUAACACCCAUUCAAAAAACCUAACAAAUCGGAAAGCCCAAUUUCUGAAAUCAAAUAUUUGAACAACCUUUAAUGGUGAAUUUUAUUCCAAAUUUGUAGUAAAUAAUUGGGAUCAAAAUUAUAUGUGGAAUGGGGAUAAGGCCGAGACAAUACCGACAUUGAUGAUCCAACAACCUACCAACCGAACCUCUUUAGUGCAUGACAAUAAAACAUUUCUCCCCAUUCAAUUGGAUGAUGUGAUCUUCAUGUGACUCCAAAUUACUAAGUCUCUUGCAAAUCGAUUUUCUUUUUCAUCAAAAUAGCAAUUAUCAGCUUUGAAUCUCGGAGAAGAAUUGAAGGAGAAUAACAAUGGUAGAAAAUUUUUGGGGUGCAAAGGCGUGAAACGGGAAGAAGAAGAACAACAACAACAAAGAAAAAGGGGUGAAAAGUGAAAAUUAAUUUUCAGGUUAUACACAAUCUAAGAUACACUAGAAAACAGCUUCAAACGUGAGCCAUUUUCUGAUCGGUUGUUGGGCCAAAUGAUAAGGGGGUGCAAUUCUCCCUCUUUUUGGUGAAAAAAAUGUGGCAGGAGUUAGCAUUGAACCCACAAAUUUUUGUCAAGCGAAUAUUUUAUGUACUAAGGAAAUUUUCGUAUAUAUACCAUAUAUAAAACUAUAUUACCAAAUAUGUUCAUAGUUUGCAUAUUACCCUUCAUACUAAUAGUAUUUCUAUAAAAUAUAGAUCAUGCAUUAAAUAAGGAAUCAUUGUAGUUGUAGGCUUCCUUAUUUAGGCGCUAAAAUUGGGGAAUUAAAUAUUCUUCCGGAUCUUCCUAACGCAAAUCACGCGCAUUAAUCUCCUUCGUCAGUUUUGUUUCAAAUUUACCGUCUCUACAUCAAACGCAAUUAUUCUUCUACAAUUCAAAAAUAAAGUGAUUAUUCUUCUACAAUUCAUAAAUCAAAAAUGACUAAAUCUUCUACAAUUCUUCUACAUCAAAUGCAAUUAUGUCUAAAUUUCAAUAAUAUAAAGCAAAGGAAAACAUAGCAGCAAUUUCACAAUUAACAGCCCAUUAAAAAGCUUGAAAGCUUUGAAUUCAAAUUUGGAUUUUCAAAAAUCAUUAUUUGUUUGGAUUGGGUGUUAUUGAAAAUAACUGGAAAUAUGGUUUGGAGUUUAUAUCUCAAUUUUGAUGAAUUUUGGUAAAGAUUAGAUUUGAUUUUGACUGAAUUUCAGGCUAAAACUCGAAGAAGAAGAAGAAGAAGAAGAAGAAGAAGAAGAAGAAGAAGAAGAAGAAGACGACAUAAAAUAUAGAUAAAUUAAAGAAAUUGUAGACUAUUGUUUAUUUAUUUUUCUUUUAUUCAUGUACUUAUUGUAUGAAAGUUGAAUAACAUUGAUAAAAAUUAUAUUUAA
rnacentral:lncRNA from 1 species